rnacentral:sRNA from 1 species
UAUAAACCAUAAUCGGGGCUGAUCCUGCC